GUGGGGAAUCUUGCGCAAUGGGCGAAAGCCUGACGCAGCCAUGCCGCGUGGAUGAUGAAGGUCUAGGAUUGUAAAAUCCUUUCACCGGGGACGAUAAUGACGGUACCCGGAGAAGAAGCCCCGGCUAACUUCGUGCCAGCAGCCGCGGUAAUACGAAGGGGGCUAGCGUUGCUCGGAAUUACUGGGCGUAAAGGGCGCGUAGGCGGACAGUUAAGUUGGGGGUGAAAGCCCGGGGCUCAACCUCGGAAAUGCCUUCAAUACUGGCUGCCUUGAGUACGGGAGAGGUGAGUGGAACUCCGAGUGUAGAGGUGAAAUUCGUAGAUAUUCGGAAGAACACCAGUGGCGAAGGCGACUCACUGGCCCGUUACUGACGCUGAGGCGCGAAAGCGUGGGGAGCAAACAGG
rnacentral:rRNA from 1 species